rnacentral:rRNA from 1 species
UACGAAGGGGGCUAGCGUUGUUCGGAAUUACUGGGCGUAAAGCGUGCGCAGGCGGCUCCUUAAGUCAGAUGUGAAAUCCCCGGGCUUAACCUGGGAAUUGCGCUUGGGACUGGAGGGCUUGAGUACGGGAGAGGAGAGUGGAAUUCCCAGUGUAGAGGUGAAAUUCGUAGAUAUUGGGAAGAACACCGGUGGCGAAGGCGGCUCUCUGGACCGUAACUGACGCUGAGGCGCGAAAGCGUGGGGAGCAAAC